AAAAAAUUCGAUCUCCGAACCAUUUUACCUAAAUCUUAUAAACCAAAAGACAUGGGAAAUGGUCGCCUGCCCCAAACGAUGCGACUAAAAAAAUUUUGGGGUUGAAGGGUAUUCUGAGAAAUCUGGGUACCUCCCUUCCGGAAAGGAGAAAGAUAAAAAAAUAA
rfam:Candidatus Schekmanbacteria bacterium GWA2_38_11 gwa2_scaffold_8246, whole genome shotgun sequence.